GCGUCUGUAGUCCAAAGGUUAGGAUAAUUGCCUUCCAAGCAAUAGAUCCGGGUUCGAUUCCCGGCAGACGCA
rfam:Musa acuminata subsp. malaccensis Doubled-haploid Pahang (DH-Pahang) genomic chromosome, chr8